rnacentral:lncRNA from 1 species
UUUCAGCUAAUACGAAAAAAAGACCAAAGUCCACAGAGUUAAAGCCACAGAAAUGUUCACAUUUUCAAAAUUCAACUUGUUCUGUAAGUGGUCGAAGUUGGAAAAAGAAUUCACACCGUUUCACCCACUCUUUUCCUUUUUUGCAGAAUGCUAAUUCAUCUACAUUUGGAAUGUGAACAAACUGAACCAGCUCUAUUUUUGCAUGUUUUCUCUCUCUUUUUUUUAAGUACACUUACAUGUCCUGGCAACAAGCUGAAUUAAACCAGACAAAUGAACAAUAGGAGAACAGCACCUGCCCACACAGGACUGACCUUACUGAGGACUGCUUUGUGAUAGCGCAGUGGCUGCCCAGAUCCCACUUCUUCCUGCCCAUUGUUGUACCUGUCUUCAGAAAAACAUCACAUAGCUGGUUGGCCUGGAAUACUUCGGCAUACAAGAUUUCAGCUCACGAAAAUGAUCUUUGCCUGCCUCUGCCUUAAAAUGCCACCGAGAAACCUGAGCAAGAAAGAGAACCUUCUGUCCUAGAAGUCCACUCCAGCAUAUACCUUUCUCACUUGCAGCUAGCCAAGAGCUUCAAGUCAAAACCAGGGAGCAAGCAAGGCCCCAUCUUCCCUGAUCCUCCAUGCCCCCUAACAGCCAAGGGCCUGAUGACCAUGCAGUGCAGGAUGUUCAAGCGCAAAUCCUGGUUCUUGCUGAUUGACAGCGGGAUUUCAACCUCCGUCUCCCCAUCCCAGGUGCCUCCGGAGCCCAGUGGGGACACUCCAGAAAUAAGCCAGGCUUCCUAUACAAAAUGACAGGCUCUGACCUGACCAUCAUGACUUAGGAAUCCUUCAGCUCUCCAAGGAUCACCUCACCUACCAGCACCUCCGAGCCCAUCGACACACGGACAAACCACACACGGCCCAGCACAGCCCUCCGUGUGUGCAGAGGAGCCCUCCGGCCCCAGGACCCAUGCCUGGGGCAGAGCUGAGGUGUUUGCAGGGCAACAGCUUGGCAGGGGUUAAUCUCCAUAGAGCUGGUGGGGUGGAUCUCAUCUGUAAAGUGCCAGGGCUGCUUUAUGGGAACCAUUUAAGCAAUUAAUAAACCUGGAUGUUAACCUGACA